rnacentral:lncRNA from 1 species
CACACAUCCUUCUUAUGCUUGUGGUUUUCUCAAUAACUUCCCAGUCUCUCACAUUUUGUAUUCCUUUUAAUUAUUUAGAACACUUUUUAGACAAAGAGAAUCAGGGCAAGAAUGUCAAUGAUUUUUACAAUAUUUUAGCCCUUGAAUUUUGUUAACAGACUUAGAGGGAAGCUCAUGGUUGCACAAGCUUGGAAUGAAUAUAAACAAGUGGUCAUUUCUGAAUUCUCUGAUUGGAUGGAGUGAAGACAGAACUCAAGAUAAAGAUCAGUUUACCACAUCUGGAGUUUGUUCUGCUGCUGAUCACAAAGCAACUGAGUUGGAGGAAUGUACAACCAAAAAAGUGCCAUACAUUCCAUACAGCCUAGCUACAUUGCAUAUCAUCAAGAUUGUAAAAGACAUGCAGCAAAUGAAAAACAGACACAUGAAGAUAAUUAGAAAACUAGAUGAUAUAAGGAAAGAAAAGCAGACAGGCACUCAGUUCCCAUGA